UAUGCUAUGUACGCGGUCACAAAUUUUCCGCGGAAAUUUGUCCAAGCGUACUUAAUUUAAAUGUAAGGCAUAUAGUGACAGUCUAAGAAAUCCGCGUAAUUUUCUACCGGUGGAUUAAACAGAAAUUGAGAUUCCACGGGAUUAUGACCCCGUGAAAAAAAGUACGUCUACAGUAUAUACAUGUACAUGUAGAAUGUUCACCUCUGAUUUAUAAUGAUAUUUGUUUUAUACACACUGACCAUGUUUUAUAAUAUUCUAAACAAAUUAUUUGAUACUCAGGCAAAUAUUCACUACUGGUAAGAUGAUCACACACAUGAACAUGUCUGUUUAUGAAUGAAAUGAAUUUUCCUUUUGAUCAUGUUCCUAGGAAAAUAAUUAUUUUCAUCAUUUUUUCAUCAAAGGAUUUACCAUAUAAGAUGAAUAUAUUAAAAGAAAAAGUAAGACCAGUAAACCAAAACAGGACCAAAUAGGCCAUGACUGAAGUUCAAGUGCAUUCUGCAAGAAAGUGGACAGCCUAGAUUUUGUUCUUUUCAAGGUUGAGAAGGGAUGCCAUAUUUUAGGUUUGAAACCAGGCAAGUGAAAGCUGAAUUCCAACCUAUUCCAACAUACUUGUACCCACUGUCUUCAAGAUAUCAGUGUUUGAGAUGUCAAAGUUCAAAUAUAAUAGGAACAUGUUUAUCAUAUUAUGUGAUGGCAUCCUCAAAUCUUAUGCUGUAUAACAAUAUGUUUUAGAACUUAUCAAGCUUUAUCCUGUACCUUGCCAAAAAACCUCAACUCAGCAUAAUUCUCAUUAACUAAUUAUCAGUGUUACUUGCGUAUGUCAAUGUAGGUCAUUACUGGUACAUGCCUGACCAACAAAAACUCUAAAAUUGAAAAAUCAGAGACUAGAUUUUCAGAGCAGCAGAAACAGUAGAAUUUGUCACGUAAAUCUAAUGAUAUGUACUGUAGUUUAGAAUACAUGUACUCUAAAUGUUGCAUAUAUAAAAAAUAAAAAAAGCGAAAAGUU